GACGGAGGGGGCAAGCGUUGUUCGGAUUGACUGGGCGUAAAGGGCGUGUAGGCGGUCGGCCAAGUCUGAUGUGAAAGCCCGAGGCUCAGCCUCGGAAGUGCGUCGGAAACUAGUCGGCUGGAGCGCGAUAGAGGAGGGUGGAAUUCCUGGUGUAGCGGUGAAAUGCGUAGAUAUCAGGAGGAACACCGGCGGCGAAGGCGGCCCUCUGGAUCGUUGCUGACGCUGAUACGCGAAAGCGUGGGGAGCAAACAGG
rnacentral:rRNA from 1 species